CAACCAGAGCCAGGCACAAAGGAGACCCUCAAUAAGAAGCAUCUAAUCAUUAUGAUUUUUUUCGCUCAAGAAUGUGAUGAAGGGUGUGAGGGGACCAAGAGACGGAGACCGUGCUGUGGAGGCUUAUUUCUGCUUUUUGAGUCUUGAUACACAAAGGAUGUGGGAGAUCCUGUGAGAAGGAGUCCUUUGCAAUGAAGAGUGAAUCAAGCCUGUGUGCUCAUUUGGAAGAUAAUUAACCAAGAGAGCGGAUUCUAAGACUGGGUCUGGCAGUCCUCAUUUGGCUUUUCAUUUCUUCUUCCCAGCAGUGGUUAUAGAUGCAGAAACGGAGGCACAGAGAGGUCAAGCAGCCCAACGUCACACAGCAAUUGAGUAGCAGCGUCAGGAAUCGAAUCCAGGUGAUAUUGUCAAGACUUUCCUGAGAAGUCCUCCUGCCAUGAUGCUUCUGGUCUGCUAUAUUCAAGAGGAAACCAGAUCUUGAAGACCUUGUUUCAUGCUCCAAGAGGAUUAAUCUACUAAAUCCUACUAGCAAGUUUCUGGAGAACUCUACAAAUUGUAGAAAAAUCAAUACCUUCUGAAGUGCAGCCUCUCUCCAGACUGAAGCUGUUGAGAAGAUGUUCUCCACAGCCUCCGAGGACAGAGGUGUCCUGAUGUCAGGAGGAAUGUGAAUGGAUCUGUCUUGGACGAUGGAUGGGGCUGGAAUCCCCAGGCAAUGAAGAACCAUCCUCCUCCCGUCCAUGGCAAGAAUGUUGGCAUCCCCAGCUCUCAGCUCAUGUUUAAAUGAGAAAUGAAGAAAAGGCACUGAGCACAGCUGAGGGGAACCUGAACUCUUGACUUGAGCGACCUCCAAACUCAAUGGUCUAAAUUGGAUCCUGAUGGGAAAAAAUACAUACACACACACAUCAAUGAAGAAUGUCGCCUGCCAUGUCAGUAAACAAAGGAUGUUGCAGCCAUCAAGCCAUCAACCACUGCAGCUGCCCCCAACUGUGCACACUGAGGGGAUUCGGGAUGGAGAAAGACAGGAUACUGGCCCUAGAUAGUAAAGAGUGGCGAUGCUUCAGAGGAAAAUAAAGCAAGGAGGCUCCAGAGCAAGGAGGCAGAGAAUGAGGACUCUUCUGAUACAAGGACACCAUGGGGAAACAUCUAGAAACACUGCUGAUGAAGUGGUGUGUGCAAGCUUACUUAAAGUGACAUUCGGUAAGAAGAAGAAAUUUAUUUUAAAAUGCAGAAGAACGACUUGCUGGUGGUGGUUUCGUGCGACUGCGUAGGGAAUUCAGCGGGAGACAGCGACGGUGACUUCAAAAGGACUUUACAGGAUUUCAUGAAACGUUUGUCAGAAUUCAACGUGGAUGAUAUUGGUCAGGUGGCUUUCCUUCACACAGUGAUUUAAGAAUCCAGCUCCUACUAUUUUGAGAUGCUGCCAUCUUCAAUGUAGUCAUUGUGGAAAGACAACAGGAAGAAAGUGGUGUGUGUGUGGACUUCAGCGAACAGACAUGCCACUUCUGUAUACAUUCUCUUGGCCAGAACUUAUCAUAUGGUCCCACCCAGCUGCAAAGGACUGGAAAAAGAGUUUUCCUCAAUAUCCAGAAGGAAGUAAACUAUUUGGUGAACACAUGGGCACAGACGUUAUAGGCAUUGUCUCAUUUAUUAUAUUUAUGAGGUAGGUGAUAUCAUUCCCAUUUGUUUCCUGGGAAGAAACCUGCAAAGGGUCACAGAUGUGGUGAGUGUCUCACAGAGAUUCCAUCUUAGGUCUGUAGGAUGAGUCAAUGUCCUUUAUCACUUUCCAGUGUCUCUGGAAAAACAUACAGGGCAUGCACGGUGUCAGAAGGAGGCUGGACCGACUGGAAUUUGGUUACCUGGGAUAUCUUUCUGCUGUGCCCUUAAUAGCUUGGUAGAUUUGAGAAGUCACUCCCUACCUCUGCAUGUCAACUUCCUCAUGAGA